rnacentral:lncRNA from 1 species
UCACAUCUUGGACUUCACUUAUUUACUAAACUUCAACAAAGAACAGAGUUAGAAUCUUUUUGAUCUGGUUGAAACUUGAAAUACAUAUUGUGACCAUGUUAUCAGGCUAUCUUUUUUUUUUCUCGAACUACGCAGGAGAGCUGCGUGUCAUAUCAUUAAGGUAGAAAAGAUAGUACAACGAUCCCGGAUAUACCCAGGUCGAGGUUGAAACCCACACACGCACACAGUAAGAAGGCAAAGUUACAGACUCGCCACAUCCUCGUAACAAGACAUGCACACAGUAAGAAGGCAAAGUUACAGACUCGCCACAUCCUCGUAACAAGACAUGCACACAGUAAGAAGGCAAAGUUACAGACUCGCCACAUCCUCGUAACAAGACAUGACCCGGGGAUCCUCGGGGCUUAAGCCGCCACAGUCAACGACCUUGCUAGGAGUUCCUGGAGCCACACACCAAAAACUACACUCAUCCGCCACCGUCCGGAGGAGAUUACUAACAUUUGGCGACCUUCCCUCAAAGACACAAUCAUUUCUAUGCUUCCAGACCUCCAAUGUCACAAGUAUGAUAAGAUAAUUUAGACCUUUUCCUCAUUUCGUUUGGCACACUUCUGAUUGUGCUCCCCAACAUCCCAGGAGGCGAGAUGUUGCUGUGGGAGCUGCAGCAGCGAUGUUCAGAUGUUGGAGCAGCAAUGCCCACACUUGUCUGGGAGUGAAAAGCACAUAGAUUAGGACAAACUCAAUGAAACUCUGUAACAUUGGGAAUAUAACCCUGAAACUGUUCUUGGUAUCUUGUCUUUAUUUCUCUAACAAAUCUUUACCCCUGCAAUUCCACUACUCUAUCCUUGUCUUUGAAAUAAUAUAAACACCCAUCUGUCAUUGUCAUGUAG